rnacentral:lncRNA from 1 species
ACUGAAGCUCGGCUACUUGAUAAAAUACAGGGACACGUAAAAGCUCCAAAACAAUCAGAUGUUGAAGACAAACCCAGAAAUCAACGCAACCAAAGAAAAAAUCGGGAAAAAACCAACAGUGAUAUUGAUUUCUUAGCCAAGAAAAAUGUUAAGAGACUACUCCUUUCCUUUCUUUUAAAUCUACUUCCAUCACUUUCGGUUUUCUUCAUUCUUUGAUGGUCUUUUUUAUUGUAUUUUAGCUACCCAGCCUCUUUCAGUCAAAAAGCUUUAGAAAUGAAGAUUCCGAUCUGUGUAGUGAAUAAAAUGGAAAAGUCGUUCCCCCUCUAGAAUGAAAAAGGGAUUUAGGAUCUGAUCUUUUU